AGUGACGUCAAGUCAGCAUGGCCUUUAUUGGUAGGGCGUUCACACGUCAUACAAUGGUCGGUACAGAGGGUUGCCAACCCGCGAGGGGGAGCUAAUCCCACAAAGCCGAUCGUAGUCCGGAUCGCAGUCUGCAACUCGACUGCGUGAAGUCGGAAUCGCUAGUAAUCGUGGAUCAGCAUGUCACGGUGAAUACGUUCCCGGGUCUU
rnacentral:rRNA from 1 species